rnacentral:rRNA from 1 species
CCUACGGGCGGCAGCAGUGGGGAAUAUUGCACAAUGGGGGAAACCCUGAUGCAGCAACGCCGCGUGAGUGAAGAAGUCAUUCGUGAUGUAAAGCUCUAUCAGCAGGGAAGAAAAUGACGGUACCUGACUAAGAAGCCUCGGCUAACUACGUGCCAGCAGCCGCGGUAAUACGUAGGGGGCAAGCGUUAGCCGGAUUUACUGGGGGAAAAGGGAGCGUAGACGGCAGCACAAGUCUGGAGUGAAAUCACGGGGCUUAACCCCGGAACUGCUUUGGAAACUGUGCGGCUGGAGUGCAGGAGGGGUAAGCGGAACUCCUAGUGUAGCGGUGAAAUGCGUAGAUAUUAGGAGGAACACCGGUGGCGAAGGCGGCUUACUGGACUGUAACUGACGUUGAGGCUCGAAAGCGUGGGGAGCAAACAGGAUUAGAUACCCGAGUAGUC